GAGUUUGAUCUUGGCUCAGAUUGAACGCUGGCGGCAUGCCUUACACAUGCAAGUCGAACGGCAGCACGGGAGCUUGCUCCUGGUGGCGAGUGGCGAACGGGUGAGUAAUGCAUCGGAACGUAUCCUGGAGUGGGGGAUAACGUAGCGAAAGUUACGCUAAUACCGCAUAUUCUGUGAGCAGGAAAGCGGGGGACCUUCGGGCCUCGCGCUCUUGGAGCGGCCGAUGUCGGAUUAGCUAGUUGGUGAGGUAAAGGCUCACCAAGGCGACGAUCCGUAGCAGGUCUGAGAGGAUGAUCUGCCACACUGGGACUGAGACACGGUCCAGACUCCUACGGGAGGCAGCAGUGGGGAAUUUUGGACAAUGGGGGCAACCCUGAUCCAGCCAUGCCGCGUGAGUGAAGAAGGCC
rnacentral:rRNA from 1 species